GUAUAGAUUUCAUUGCCACGACAUUCUAUCAACAUACAUUGGGGGUAAAUGAAGCAACAUAGACCCUGUGAGGGGUCUACAAAAGGUGCACAGGUGGAGAUAUAAAGAUGACAAGGCGUGCACAUGCUCCCUAGAGAACCAGCAACAGCCCAUCAGGUUUAUUUCAAUAAUGAUCCUUCCGCAGGUUCACCUACGGAAA
rnacentral:misc_RNA from 1 species